rnacentral:lncRNA from 1 species
AUGGUUCCUCCUUUGACGGAGGGACAGAGGGCCACACUGACCUGCAGGGCUCCUGGUCGCUGCUCUGGAUCUGAUCCGGAAAUCACCUGGAAGUGGACAGGAAGAGGGAAUGAGGAUUCUCACCUUAUAGGAAACAUCACUGGUGUGACUACUGACGAGAUGACUGGUGGAACAUUCACACAUGCCUCAACUCUGAUGUUUGAGGCUACAGCCUCUCAACACCUUUCAAAUGUCACAUGUAAGGUCAGCUUCAAGAACAACAUCAGUACAGAGGAGACUGUGACUCUAACCAUCAAUGCUUCUCCAAAGAUCCUCAAUACGUCUGGAUGUGGCAUUCAGUCAGACAUCUUGACCUGCAUAUGCAUAAGUCAGGGGGUCCCAUUACCCACCAUCUCAUGGCCUUUACUGAAAAAUCACACUGAGUACUUUAUAAUUACUACUGUAUCAGACUCCACAGUAAACAGCACCAUCAGUCUAAGUGUGACAGACUACAACCACACUGUCCGCUGUGUCAGCAACAACGGUGUUGGGAGGGUGCAGCACAACCUCAAAGUUCUUAGGACGUCUACUAGGGAAAAUGGUGCUGUGCAGUGUAGUGACUCUGACAGUGUGCUCCCCUGGUCUGUCGCUGCUGUGGCUCUUAUCAUCGGUGUUGUCUCUGUCAUCUGUAUCCUGAGACUGUGGAAAGCAGGACAAAAGACAAGAGCAAAGAAUGAGAACAGCACAUACAUGUCUCUGCAGAAGACACACCCAACAGAAUAUGAUGUUAUUCACCAGCUCUGA